rnacentral:rRNA from 1 species
GUCCACGCCGUAAACGAUGGAUGCUAGACGUAGUGGGUAUUGACCCCUGCUGUGUCGAAGCUAACGCGAUAAGCAUCCCGCCUGGGGAGUACGGCCGCAAGGUUAAAACUCAAAGGAAUUGACGGGGGCCCGCACAAGCGGUGGAGCAUGUGGUUCAAUUCGACGCAACGCGCAGAACCUUACCUGGGUUAAAUCCACCUGAAUCCUGCAGAGAUGCGGGAGUGCUCGCAAGAGAGCAGGUGAGAAGGUGCUGCAUGGCUGUCGU